rnacentral:lncRNA from 1 species
UUGGUGAUGCUAAUACAGUAAUAUGAAUCUAGAUUAAAUCCGUAGAUUGAAUUUGCGUUGCAGUCGGAAUAAUUUCUCGACUUCUAGUAGCACUAAUAAAAUAUAACUGCUUCUGUUUCUCGAUUAAUAAAUAACAUGACUUUGCUAAGUCAGUUAUAACUUGGAAAUAAUAAUUAUUGAUUGCUCAAUAAUCCUCGUCGCGUUUUUUUUUUUUUUUCAUACGUUAUAAAAAUAUAACGCUAAAAUAAUAACUCUGCCUCUGAUAAAAAAAAUCAGAACCAUAAACU